CCCUGUCACCCUUGCCUGUGGGGACAGUGGAACAAGGAAAGGAACAGAAGCUCCCUCAAGCUGUGUUGUCAGUUCUGCAGAGAAGUUGGGCAGGAAGGGACAGACCAUGUUCCCCACAAGGAACUCCUUCAUCAGACUGGGGGCUUCAUGGCAUCAGAAACAGUGCCUCCCCCGUCUGACUAGGUGCUCCCUAGGUGCAGGGGCUGUGUUUAACUCAUCUAUUCCCUAUAUCCCCAAUGUCUAACACCUCAGUGCAAAACUUAGAGACACAGAAAUGGAUAAAACACGAUCCCUGCCAUCUAAUAGGGAAGCAAAUUCAUGUAAAAGUCCCCACCAAGCAGUGCAGUCCUUGUUGUGCUGGUGGGCCCAGGUUCAGUCCCAGGCCUGCCACCCCCACUCCUGUGUGACCUUGGCAAAUCACUUCACCUUGGGUGACCAACUCAUUUCAUCUUUCCUAUCAUCCUCCUACUGUCCUGAGAAAGUACCAUCUCCAAGGAACCCCCUUAUUUCCAGGAAAAGUGGGACACUUGUGCCUCCCACUGAGCCUCCUUAUGCCUCAGUUUCCUCAAAUAUGAAGUAGAAAUGUUAAUAGCGGUAUCUGCCUUAUAUGGAAAGCUGUUGUGUGGAUGAAAUGAGUUAAUGUAAAUCAAGAACUAGUGUCUGGCACAGUGCAAGUUCUAUACGAUUUGUCUUCUCCAUUUGAAUUCCCCAGAAGCAGAUCCCGGGACAGGAUCUGGCUGCAAAUAGUUUAUUUGGGAAGUGAUUCCAAGAAGCAUGGAAUUAAAACAAGAGAAGACAAAGGAAGCAAUGCAGACAGCAUUAAUGAGCAGGUGACUGCUGUGGGCAGGUGCGCUCCUUACCACUGGAGACCUCUGCAAGCCUGCAUAGAGCAUGGCUUAUGGUUGUCCGCUCUGAGGGGUAGAAAGGCUGGGGCUUAUAUUCCCCAAAUCCCAUUCCUCAUCACUUGGAGUAGGAUGGUGUUAACUCCCCAGCAUUUGUGUAUUGGAAACCUGCCACGUACAUGAGCAUGGUGGGUGCAGAGCAGGCAGGACACUGUCAGCAUCUGGUACAUAUGUGUCAACCAUUCCUGUGACAUACAGGAGGCAUGAGGGCAGACAGGAACACCCACUCAGCUAUGGAAGAGGGAAGCCACGGCAGGAGGAGGUUACAUCUGGGUGAGCUUUGAAGUAUGUGUAGGAGUUUUUCAUGCAGAGGAGAAGGCAGGCCUUGUAAUGGUGGGUGCACAAUAAAUGUUUAAAUGAAUGCCAAGUAAGUUGAGAGUGAUUCAAAUGUUCAAAUGCUUGAGCUAGUGGGGCUGACUCAGUGCUGGAGAGCCAUAGGUGGUCAGAAGGGGAGGUGAUACAGUCAGCCUGGAGGCAUCAGGAAAUGCUGGAUCAAGGUAUGAGGACCUGAACUGGUCCCUGAUCAGCAGGUAGAGAGGAGGGAGGGUAGGCCAGGUAGAAGAACCUCAAGAGCUAGGCAGUGGAGUUGGAAUGAGGCGGGACAGAAGGAGUGCCAAAGACAGGGAAGAGAAGGGAAGGAAAGGGAAAGGGAAAUGGAAAAGAAAGGAAGAAAGAGAAGGAAACAAUUGAACUUGGGGAAGAAGAAGAGACACAGAACACUCCGUCACAGGGGUAGAAGGAGAACCACGGAGUCUGGCAUCACACAGGUCAAAUGAAGAGAGACCAAUGACAUGGUGGCAUUGCGUUCUCAAGUCCUGAGUCCUACCCAAAGUGGAGGCCAAAGCCAUCUGGAACACUUUGAGGACAGGUGAGCCACCAGGAGACCACUGUGAGCCCAAGAACAUGAGCUUCGUGGGAAGAAGUCUGCAGGGAGCCUGGGAGUAAGAGUGAGCUGAGGGCAAGGCACUGUCCGCAAGCCAGAAGGGAGGAGGUUUCCAGCGGUUAUUACCGGAGCUGCACAAAUAUUGUUGUUUUGACUGGUAGUGGAGAUUAUUUUAUUUUUUUCCCCAGGAACCACAAGUGUGAUGUGUGGGCUCGUUUUAGAACACGACACCACAGGGAGAGCGACAACCUCUGACCUCGCCUUCCCCACUUCUCCUGGUGAGAUGCUUGCAUGCACACACACACACACACACACACACACACAGGCACACACAAGUCACUAAAAAGUAACCCAAACCACAAAUGUUUGAUCCACCAAUGCCAAAGCUCUGCUGGAAAUUCCUAACUUCUUGUGAUGGUAAGAAUACCACUCCCCGACUUUUUAAAAUAUGUAAAGCAAUUACAACAGUACCUGGAAUGUAAAAAAAAAAACAAAAAA
rnacentral:lncRNA from 1 species